rnacentral:rRNA from 1 species
UACGAAGGGGGCUAGCGUUGCUCGGAAUCACUGGGCGUAAAGCGCACGUAGGCGGCUUUCUAAGUCAGGGGUGAAAUCCUGGAGCUCAACUCCAGAACUGCCUUUGAUACUGGAGAGCUUGAGUCCGGGAGAGGUGAGUGGAACUCCGAGUGUAGAGGUGAAAUUCGUAGAUAUUCGGAAGAACACCAGUGGCGAAGGCGGCUCACUGGCCCGGUACUGACGCUGAGGUGCGAAAGCGUGGGGAGCAAACAGGAGUUAGAAACCCU